GCCUACGGGAGGCAGCAGUGGGGGAUAUUGCACAAUGGGCGCAAGCCUGAUGCAGCGACACCGCGUGAGCGAAGAAGUAUUUCGGUAUGUAAAGCUCUAUCAGCAGGGAAGAAAAUGACGGUACCUGACUAAGAAGCUCCGGCUAAAUACGUGCCAGCAGCCGCGGUAAUACGUAUGGAGCAAGCGUUAUCCGGAUUUACUGGGUGUAAAGGGAGCGUAGGCGGCCCUGUAAGUCUGAUGUGAAAAUUUGGGGCUCAACCCCAACCGUGCAUUG
rnacentral:rRNA from 1 species